rnacentral:rRNA from 1 species
UACGUAGGGUGCAAGCGUUAAUCGGAAUUACUGGGCGUAAAGCGUGCGCAGGCGGUUCGCUAAGACAGAUGUGAAAAUCCCCGGGCUUAACCUGGGAACUGCAUUUGUGACUGGCGGGCUAGAGUAUGGCAGAGGGGGGGUAGGAAUUCCACGUGUAGCAGUGAAAUGCGUAGAGAUGUGGAGGAAUACCGAUGGCGAAGGCAGCCCCUGGGCCAAUACUGACGCUCAUGCACGAAAAGCGUGGGGGAGCAAACAGG